rnacentral:rRNA from 3 species
GGAUCCCAUCAGAACUCCGAAGUUAAGCGUGCUUGGGCGAGAGUAGUACUAGGAUGGGUGACCUCCUGGGAAGUCCUCGUGUUGCAUCC